rnacentral:sRNA from 1 species
UUUCCGCCUCUGGCGAAUGGCUCGUCUGUAGUGCACGCCGCGGGCCCAGCUGCGACCCCGGCCCCGCCCCCGGGACCCCGGCCAUGGACGAACUGUUCCCCCUCAUCUUCCCGGCAGAGCCAGCCCAGGCCUCUGGCCCCUAUGUGGAGAUCAUUGAGCAGCCCAAGCAGCGGGGCAUGCGCUUCCGCUACAAGUGCGAGGGGCGCUCCGCGGGCAGCAUCCCAGGCGAGAGGAGCACAGAUACCACCAAGACCCACCCCACCAUCAAGGUCAGCACUGCGCCAGGGUGUGCGGGGAAGGGACUGUGGAACCCCAGCCCUCUGUGUUUGGGAGUCAGGUUUGGAUGUCUGGGCCUCUGUACUUUGGACAGAUCAAUGGCUACACAGGACCAGGGACAGUGCGCAUCUCCCUGGUCACCAAGGACCCUCCUCACCGGCCUCACCCCCACGAGCUUGUAGGAAAGGACUGCCGGGAUGGCUUCUAUGAGGCUGAGCUCUGCCCGGACCGCUGCAUCCACAGUUUCCAGAACCUGGGAAUCCAGUGUGUGAAGAAGCGGGACCUGGAGCAGGCUAUCAGUCAGCGCAUCCAGACCAACAACAACCCCUUCCAAGUUCCUAUAGAAGAGCAGCGUGGGGACUACGACCUGAAUGCUGUGCGGCUCUGCUUCCAGGUGACAGUGCGGGAACCAUCAGGCAGGCCCCUCCGCCUGCCGCCUGUCCUUUCUCAUCCCAUCUUUGACAAUCGUGCCCCCAACACUGCCGAGCUCAAGAUCUGCCGAGUGAACCGAAACUCUGGCAGCUGCCUCGGUGGGGAUGAGAUCUUCCUACUGUGUGACAAGGUGCAGAAAGAGGACAUUGAGGUGUAUUUCACGGGACCAGGCUGGGAGGCCCGAGGCUCCUUUUCGCAAGCUGACGUGCACCGACAAGUGGCCAUUGUGUUCCGGACCCCUCCCUACGCAGACCCCAGCCUGCAGGCUCCUGUGCGUGUCUCCAUGCAGCUGCGGCGGCCUUCCGACCGGGAGCUCAGUGAGCCCAUGGAAUUCCAGUACCUGCCAGAUACAGACGAUCGUCACCGGAUUGAGGAGAAACGUAAAAGGACAUAUGAGACCUUCAAGAGCAUCAUGAAGAAGAGUCCUUUCAGCGGACCCACCGACCCCCGGCCUCCACCUCGACGCAUUGCUGUGCCUUCCCGCAGCUCAGCUUCUGUCCCCAAGCCAGCACCCCAGCCCUAUCCCUUUACGUCAUCCCUGAGCACCAUCAACUAUGAUGAGUUUCCCACCAUGGUGUUUCCUUCCGGGCAGAUCAGCCAGGCCUCGGCCUUGGCCCCGGCCCCUCCCCAAGUCCUGCCCCAGGCUCCAGCCCCUGCCCCUGCUCCAGCCAUGGUAUCAGCUCUGGCCCAGGCCCCAGCCCCUGUCCCAGUCCUAGCCCCAGGCCCUCCUCAGGCUGUGGCCCCACCUGCCCCCAAGCCCACCCAGGCUGGGGAAGGAACGCUGUCAGAGGCCCUGCUGCAGCUGCAGUUUGAUGAUGAAGACCUGGGGGCCUUGCUUGGCAACAGCACAGACCCAGCUGUGUUCACAGACCUGGCAUCCGUCGACAACUCCGAGUUUCAGCAGCUGCUGAACCAGGGCAUACCUGUGGCCCCCCACACAACUGAGCCCAUGCUGAUGGAGUACCCUGAGGCUAUAACUCGCCUAGUGACAGGGGCCCAGAGGCCCCCCGACCCAGCUCCUGCUCCACUGGGGGCCCCGGGGCUCCCCAAUGGCCUCCUUUCAGGAGAUGAAGACUUCUCCUCCAUUGCGGACAUGGACUUCUCAGCCCUGCUGAGUCAGAUCAGCUCCUAAGGGGGUGACGCCUGCCCUCCCCAGAGCACUGGGUUGCAGGGGAUUGAAGCCCUCCAAAAGCACUUACGGAUUCUGGUGGGGUGUGUUCCAACUGCCCCCAACUUUGUGGAUGUCUUCCUUGGAGGGGGGAGGCAUAUUUUAUUCUUUUAUUGUCAGUAUCUGUAUCUCUCUCUCUUUUUGGAGGUGCUUAAGCAGAAGCAUUAACUUCUCUGGAAAGGGGGGAGCUGGGGAAACUCAAACUUUUCCCCUGUCCUGAUGGUCAGCUCCCUUCUCUGUAGGGAACUCUGGGGUCCCCCAUCCCCAUCCUCCAGCUUCUGGUACUCUCCUAGAGACAGAAGCAGGCUGGAGGUAAGGCCUUUGAGCCCACAAAGCCUUAUCAAGUGUCUUCCAUCAUGGAUUCAUUACAGCUUA